AUUCAGGGGAGAAAUCUAAAAUAAACAAAAGGAAAAGUCCAAAUUACAAAGCGCGAAUAACAUAGGGACUAAAAUAGGAAAUAUUCAUUGCCCACUAAAUCGCAGAGCUGCAAAUGGACUAAAAUGAAGUUAGCAAGAAAUUAUGCAACCCAAUUUAAAGAAGCAACAUAAACUAGAUUGAAACCAAACACAAACAACGAGGACUUGGAGCGCAAAUAUCCCUCCCCAUACCAAA
rnacentral:lncRNA from 1 species